rnacentral:rRNA from 1 species
UAACACGUAGGGGGCGAGCGUUGUCCGGAUUUAUUGGGCGUAAAGAGCUCGUAGGCGGUUCCGUCAGUCGGGUGUGAAAACUCUGGGCUCAACCCAGAGACGCCACCCGAUACUGCGGUGACUAGAGUCCGGUAGGGGAGUGCGGAAUUCCUGGUGUAGCGGUGAAAUGCGCAGAUAUCAGGAGGAACACCAACGGCGAAGGCAGCACUCUGGGCCGGUACUGACGCUGAGGAGCGAAAGCGUGGGGAGCGAACAGGAUUAGAUACCCUGGUAGUCCACGCCGUAAACGUUGGGCACUAGGUGUGGGACCUUUCCAACGGGUUCCGUGCCGCAGCUAACGCAUUAAGUGCCCCGCCUGGGGAGUACGGCCGCAAGGCUA